GCCUCGGUGGCUCAGUCGGUUGAGCACCUGUCUUCAGCUCAGGUCGUGAUCUCACCGUUUGUGGGUUCAAGCCCCGCGUCAGGCU
rnacentral:tRNA from 1 species